rnacentral:rRNA from 1 species
UACAGAGGUCUCAAGCGUUGUUCGGAUUCAUUGGGCGUAAAGGGUGCGUAGGCGGCGCGGUAAGUCGGGGGUGAAAUCUUGGAGCUUAACUCCGAAACUGCAUUCGAUACUGCGGUGCUUGAGGACUGGAGAGGAGACUGGAAUUCAUGGUGUAGCAGUGAAAUGCGUAGAGAUCAUGAGGAAGACCAGUGGCGAAGGCGGGUCUCUGGACAGUUCCUGACACUGAGACACGAAGGCCAGGGGAGCAAACGGG